GUGCUUGCUUUGGUAGCAUAUAUACUAAGAUUGGAAUCAUACAGAAAAGAUUAGCAUGCCCCUGCUCAAGAAUAACACACAAAUUCAUGAAGCAUUUCAUAUUUUU
ensembl:snRNA U6 U6 spliceosomal RNA